GGGCCCGCACAAGCGGUGGAGCAUGUGGUUUAAUUCGAUGCAACGCGAAGAACCUUACCAAGGCUUGACAUACUACAGAUUUCUUUGAAAAAGGAAAGUGCCUUCGGGAAUGUAGAUACAGGUGGUGCAUGGCUGUCGUCAGCUCGUGUCGUGAGAUGUUGGGUUAAGUCCCGCAACGAGCGCAACCCUCGCCAUUAGUUGCCAGCAUUUAGUUGGGCACUCUAAUGGGACUGCCGGUGAUAAGCCGGAGGAAGGUGGGGAUGACGUCAAGUCCUCAUGGCCCUUAUGGGCUGGGCUACACACGUGCUACAAUGGCGGCGACAGAGGGUUGCGAGCUCGCGAGAGCAAGCUAAUCCCAAAAAGCCGUCUCAGUUCGGAUUGUUCUCUGCAACUCGAGAGCAUGAAGGUGGAAUC
rnacentral:rRNA from 1 species